rnacentral:rRNA from 1 species
GACGAACGCUGGCGGCGUGCUUAACACAUGCAAGUCGAACGGAAAGGCCCUGCUUGCAGGGUACUCGAGUGGCGAACGGGUGAGUAACACGUGGGUGAUCUGCCCUGCACUUCGGGAUAAGCUUGGGAAACUGGGUCUAAUACCGGAUAGGACCGCACUUUAGUGUGUGUGGUGGAAAGUUUUUUCGGUGUAGGAUGAGCUCGCGGCCUAUCAGCUUGUUGGUGGGGUAAUGGCCUACCAAGACGGCGACGGGUAGCCGGCCUGAGAGGGUGUACGGCCACAUUGGGACUGAGAUACGGCCCAGACUCCUACGGGAGGCAGCAGUGGGGAAUAUUGCACAAUGGGCGCAAGCCUGAUGCAGCGACGCCGCGUGGGGGAUGAAGGCCUUCGGGUUGUAAAGCUCUUUUACCCGGGAUGAUAAUGACAGUACCGGGAGAAUAAGCUCCGGCUAACUCCGUG